AAGUCGUAACAAGGUUUCCGUAGGUGAACCUGCGGAAGGAUCAUUAUGGUACUAAAGAGGCGUGAAGGUUGUCGCUGACCUUUCCAAAAGGUCGUGCACGCCGGAGCGCUCUCACACAAUCCAUCUCACCACUUGUGCACCACCAUGCGGAGGCCCCUUGCUCUUGGCUCGCUUCGAGAGGGGGGAGGCUUUCGUUUUUUUUUACACACACACACAUGAUACAGUCUGGUAGUAUAGAAUGUCAUUCAUUUGCGAUAACACGCAAUCAAUACAACUUUCAACAAUGGAUCUCUUGGCUCUC
rnacentral:misc_RNA from 1 species